rnacentral:rRNA from 1 species
CCUACGGGGGGCAGCAGUGAGGAAUAUUGGUCAAUGGGCGCGAGCCUGAACCAGCCAAGUCGCGUGAGGGAAGACGGUCCUAUGGAUUGUAAACAUCUUUUGUCGGGGAGCAAAAGCCGGACGUGUCCGGCUGUGAGAGUACCCGAAGAAAAAGCAUCGGCUAACUCCGUGCCAGCAGCGGCGGUAAUACGGAGGAUGCGAGCGUUAUCCGGAUUUAUUGGGGUUAAAGGGUGCGCAGGCGGAUUUUUAAGUCAGCGGUCAAAUCGUGGGGCUCAACCCCAUCCAGCCGUUGAAACUGGGGAUCUAGAGUGUGCGAGAGGUAUGCGGAAUGCGUGGUGUAGCGGUGAAAGGCAUAGAUAUCACGCAGAACCCCGAUUGCGAAGGCAGCAUACCGGUGCACAACUGACGCUCAGGCACGAAAGCGUGGGUAUCGAACAGGAUUAGAUACCCGAGUAGUC